rnacentral:rRNA from 1 species
GAUGAACGCUGGCGGCGUGCUUAACACAUGCAAGUCGAAUGAUGAUCCGGUGCUUGCAUCGGGGAUUAGUGGCGAACGGGUGAGUAACACGUGAGUAACCUGCCCUUAACUCUGGGAUAAGCCUGGGAAACUGGGUCUAAUACCGGAUAUGACUCCUCAUCGCAUGGUGGGGGGUGGAAAGCUUUUGUGGUUUUGGAUGGACUCGCGGCCUAUCAACUUGUUGGUGAGGUAAUGGCUCACCAAGGCGACGACGGGUAGCCGGCCUGAGAGGGUGACCGGCCACACUGGGACUGGGACACGGCCCAGACUCCUACGGGAGGCAGCAGUGGGGAAUAUUGCACAAUGGGCGCAAGCCUGAUGCAGCGACGCCGCGUGAGGGAUGACGGCCUUCGGGUUGUAAACCUCUUUCAGUAGGGAAGAAGCGAAAGUGACGGUACCUGCAGAAGAAGCGCCGGCUAACUACGUGCCAGCCGCCGCAGUAAUAC